CUGUUUUUCUAAGGAAUUUUGAACUGUCACCCUUGGGCACCACAUAAACUUAUACAAAUGGUUUCCAGACACUACCCUUAGAGCAUGAUAUCCAUCAUGCUAAUAGACCAUAACCCAGCUUUAACCCAGCCAGGCACAAAAACUUUCUGGAUAAGAAAAUAAAAUCUUUACCACAGAUUUUAACUAUGGUGCAUGAACAUCAUGUGAGCCCCCCAAGUAUGUAGGUUGCACAAUGAAACUUUGUGCACAUACUGAAUUCCUUCUUCUUUUCUUUUCUUUACUUUUUUUUUUUUUUUCCUGAGGGAUGUACUUAUUUAGCUGGGAUGGAAAAAAGACACCAGACAACUGUAUAAAGGUGGUCUAGUUAACAACUGUGCCUUCAUAAGGGCAUUUCAAACAAAGUAGAGACAUAAAAAAAAAAGACUUAAGAACAUCAGAUUUGAAAAUAAAUCAUAAAUUUGUGUACAUUUCCUUAUAUGUCUUCAAAAAAAAGUACAUGUGUAAUGGUUAAUCUGUGACCGUAUGUUAAAAAAGAAAUACUGCUAGCCAUAAAAGAUAUUUGUAAGAAAAUAUGAUAUGGGAAUAAUAUAAUGAUUAAGACUUGCUUUUCUCCUUCAGAAACACAAUGAGUAGUGACUGGAUAUAUGAUUAAAUAUAGUGUCUUCCAUGUUCUGUAUGAACUUGAAAAGUAGAAUAAGCCUACCAAACCUGCCUUGAUUUUUCCAGCCCAUUAAGUAUCAGUUACCGCACAGAGUCACUGAUGACAGCAAUGAUUCAGAUUAGGUGACAGACACCGGUGAUACUGCUGAAUGGUUUUUACAGUGCCUUCAGGUAAAAGCUUUGUGUCUUAAAAUAAAGUCAGUUGCAUUAAAGUAGCACCUAAACAUUUUACAUUCCUCUUUGCAUACCUGCCUUGCUGAGCUUUGUUCUUGGAGCAUUGCUUGGACUGCAGAAUAUUCUCAGGCACAAGUUGCUGCAUUUAUUGAAGCCUGAAACUUAUUUUCAAACUUUCUAUUGCCUUCUAACCCGUAUGCACCCUACAGCAUCUGUUGCCUCUGGAGACUGCAGGGCAUCCUGUGGACAGUGCUGCUUUCCUGGAAACAUGAAAUUGCAAUCAGACAGCUUAAAGAUGGAAAAGCUGAGAUUCUCCUGAGGACAAGAUCUAAGCUUUGCUUCUGGUGUAGCUUCAGUUGUGCACCAGGAUAUGUUCUCCAGUUUCUGAAAUUUGGAAAAACAAAAGUCCCAAUUUCUAGCCUCUUUUCAUCCCAGUAACUGCCUCACCAGUGCUAACUAAGAGAGAAGGAUUUUCCAGAUAUUGAGGACAUUCCUGCUUAUUGACCAAGUAUCACUUUCACCUUCUUCACAGGAAUCUGAUAUUGUUACAAUAUUCUGAAAUUUGGGAUAUAACCACAUUUGUGAAAAGCUGCUACUGAAUUCGUGUUUUGCCUCUUCUAGCACACAAAUAUCUCUGUGUGUAACCAUAAAUUUUAGAACUGUU
rnacentral:lncRNA from 1 species